rnacentral:rRNA from 1 species
AGCAGCCGCGGUAAUUCCAGCUCCAAUAGCGUAUAUUAAAGUUGUUGCAGUUAAAAAGCUCGUAGUUGAAUUUCGGGAUCAAUACGUCGGUCGUGCUUAGGUACGUACUGGCGUAAUUGAUUUCUCCCUUCUGACGAACCAUGAUGUCAUUAACUUGGUGUCAUGGGAAAUCAGGACUGUUACUUUGAAAAAUUAGAGUGUUUAAAGCAGGCUCACGCUUGAAUACAUUAGCAUGGAAUAAUGAAAUAGGACGUUCGAUCCUAUUUUGUUGGUUUUUAGGAUCAACGUAAUGAUUAAUAGGGAUAGUUGGGGGCAUUAGUAUUCAAUUGUCAGAGGUGAAAUUCUUGGAUUUAUUGAAGACUAACUACUGCGAAAGCAUUUGCCAAGGAUGUUUUCAUUAAUCAAGAACGAAAGUUAGGGGAUCGAAGACGAUCAGAUACCGUCGUAGUC